GAUGAACGCUGGCGGCGUGCCUAAUACAUGCAAGUCGAGCGAACGGACGAGAAGCUUGCUUCUCUGAUGUUAGCGGCGGACGGGUGAGUAACACGUGGAUAACCUACCUAUAAGACUGGGAUAACUUCGGGAAACCGGAGCUAAUACCGGAUAAUAUUUUGAACCGCAUGGUUCAAAAGUGAAAGACGGUCUUGCUGUCACUUAUAGAUGGAUCCGCGCUGCAUUAGCUAGUUGGUAAGGUAACGGCUUACCAAGGCAACGAUGCAUAGCCGACCUGAGAGGGUGAUCGGCCACACUGGAACUGAGACACGGUCCAGACUCCUACGGGAGGCAGCAGUAGGGAAUCUUCCGCAAUGGGCGAAAGCCUGACGGAGCAACGCCGCGUGAGUGAUGAAGGUCUUCGGAUCGUAAAACUCUGUUAUUAGGGAAGAACAUAUGUGUAAGUAACUGUGCACAUCUUGACGGUACCUAAUCAGAAAGCCACGGCUAACUACGUGCCAGCAGCCGCGGUAAUACGUAGGUGGCAAGCGUUAUCCGGAAUUAUGNNGCGUAAGCGCGCGUAGGCGGUUUUUUAGUCUGAUGUGAAAGCCCACGGCUCACCCGUGGAGGGUCAUUGGAAACUGGAAAACUUGAGUGCAGAAGAGGAAAGUGGAAUUCCAUGUGUAGCGGUGAAAUGCGCAGAGAUAUGGAGGAACACCAGUGGCGAAGGCGACUUUCUGGUCUGUAACUGACGCUGAUGUGCGAAAGCGUGGGGAUCAAACAGGAUUAGAUACCCUGGUAGUCCACGCCGUAAACGAUGAGUGCUAAGUGUUAGGGGGUUUCCGCCCCUUAGUGCUGCAGCUAACGCAUUAAGCACUCCGCCUGGGGAGUACGACCGCAAGGUUGAAACUCAAAGGAAUUGACGGGGACCCGCACAAGCGGUGGAGCAUGUGGUUUAAUUCGAAGCAACGCGAAGAACCUUACCAAAUCUUGACAUCCUUUGACAACUCUAGAGAUAGAGCUUUCCCCUUCGGGGGACAAAGUGACAGGUGGUGCAUGGUUGUCGUCAGCUCGUGUCGUGAGAUGUUGGGUUAAGUCCCGCAACGAGCGCAACCCUUAAGCUUAGUUGCCAUCAUUAAGUUGGGCACUCUAAGUUGACUGCCGGUGACAAACCGGAGGAAGGUGGGGAUGACGUCAAAUCAUCAUGCCCCUUAUGAUUUGGGCUACACACGUGCUACAAUGGACAAUACAAAGGGCAGCGAAACCGUGAGGUCAAGCAAAUCCCAUAAAGUUGUUCUCAGUUCGGAUUGUAGUCUGCAACUCGACUACAUGAAGCUGGAAUCGCUAGUAAUCGUAGAUCAGCAUGCUACGGUGAAUACGUUCCCGGGUCU
rnacentral:rRNA from 1 species